GCUUGUCUCAAAGAUUAAGCCAUGCAUGUCUAAGUAUAAAUAUCUAUACUGUGAAACUGCGUAUGGCUCAUUAAAUCAGUUAUAGUUUAUUUGAUGAUACCCCACUACAUGGAUAACCGUAGUAAUUCUAGAGCUAAUACAUGCGUCAAAUCCCGACUUUUUGGAAGGGAUGUAUUUAUUAGAUACAAAACCAAUACGGAGCAAUCCGUUUCUUGGUGAUUCAUAAUAACUUUGCGGAUCGCAUGGCCUUGUGCCGGCGAUGAAUCAUUCAAAUUUCUGCCCUAUCAACUUUCGAUGGUAAGGUAUUGGCCUACCAUGGUUACCACGGGUAACGGGGAAUUAGGGUUCGGUUCCGGAGAGGGGGCCUGAGAAAUGGCCACCACAUCCAAGGAAGGCAGCAGG
rnacentral:rRNA from 1 species